rnacentral:rRNA from 1 species
GACGAACGCUGGCGGCGUGCUUAACACAUGCAAGUCGAACGGAAAGGCCCCUUUGGGGGUACUCGAGUGGCGAACGGGUGAGUAACACGUGAGUAACCUGCCCUUGACUUCGGGAUAACUUCAGGAAACUGGGGCUAAUACCGGAUAGGAAUCCUUGCUGCAUGGUGGGGGUUGGAAAGCUUCGGCGGUUUUGGAUGGACUCGCGGCUUAUCAGCUUGUUGGUGGGGUAGUGGCUUACCAAGGCUUUGACGGGUAGCCGGCCUGAGAGGGCGACCGGCCACAUUGGGACUGAGGUACGGCCCAGACUCCUACGGGAGGCAGCAGGGGGGAAUAUUGCACAAGGGGCGGAAGCCUGAUGCAGCAACGCCGCGUGCGGGAUGACGGCCUUCGGGUUGUAAACCGCUUUCAGCAGGGGCGAAGCUUGUGGUGACGGUACCUGCAGAAGAAGCACCGGCUAACUACGUG